AUUUCUAUUUAAAUAGUUUAAACAAAACAUUACAUUUUCAUUGUAAAAUUAAAUUACUAUUUUUUAA
rnacentral:tRNA from 1 species